UCUGUGCCCUGCAGGGCGUGUCGCCGCUUCGUGCGGCGCUGCUGGGAUGGCUGACCGGCAGCCUGUUCUAUCUGGGCACAGCC
rnacentral:tRNA from 1 species